UACCAGGCUGAACAGGCGAUUCUCGG
rnacentral:piRNA from 1 species